GUUGUGGGGACAGCAGGUGUGCGUGUGUGCCUGUGUUUGUGGGUGCGUGCUCAGACGUGGGUCCUCAAGGGGUCCCGGGCCUGCCCCUUCCUUCUCUGGGCCUCAGUUGUCUCCUGGGAGACCCGUGGAUGAUCCGGCUUGGGCCAUUUGUUUGCUAAGUCCAGGUCCCUGUGUGGGUGGCAGGUCCCGGGGCUGGAGCUGUGACUUCCCCUCUGGGUCUGAGUGUGAGCACGUGCGAUGCGCUGGGCUCCCCUCUGGGCGUGAGAGUGAGCACCUGCGAUGUGCUGGGCUCCCCUCUGGGCGUGAGAGUGAGCACCUGCGAGGUGCUGGGCUCCCCUCUGGGCGUGAGAGUGAGCACCUGCCAUGUGGUGGGCUCCCCUCUGGGUGCGGGUGCUUGCCGCUUCUGGGAUCCUCUCCAGCCGAAGGAACCAGGAGCGGGGAGAGCCUGGGAGCUCAGCCUGUGGGGCUGGGCAGGCUGCCCCGAAUCAAAUCCAGCCCCCUCUCUGCUGACCGCGUGCCCGGGAACCUCGCCGUGCCUCGCUGUGCACUCCUCCCCGUCUGUAAGACUGGAGCAGGACCGAGGGUCAGAGCGGCCGCUGUGGGCCUGGCCCUGCUCACCGCCCUGGGAUUGGGGUGGAGCUCAGAGAGGGCCAGGAGCCAGCGGCUGGUCGCACAGCAAUCAGUGGUGGAGAUGAGCCUCAAACUCAGGUCCCCAGACCCGAGUCUAGGGAGACAGUGGCCCUGUUUGACCAGUGGACACCCCCACAGAAGACGUAAACAUAAGACCUGAAGCUGUAAAACUCCUAGAGGGAAACAGGGGAAAUGCUGUUUGACAUGGGUCUUGGCAAUGAUUUUUUGGAUAUGAAGCCAAAAGCACAGGCGAAAAAGCAAAAAUAGACAAGUGGGACUACACCAAACUCAAAAGCUUCUGCACAGCAAAGGAAACAACAAAAUGAAAAGGCAGCCUACGGAAUGGGAGGGAAUAUUUGCAAACCCUCUCUCUGAUAAGGGGUUAACAUCCAAGAUAUAUAAGGAACUGCUGUCACUCAAUAGCAGAAAACCAAAUCAGCCAAUUAAAAAGUGGGCAAUGGAUUUGAAUCGACAUUUAUCCAAAGAAGACAAAUAAUCAGCCGGUAUAUAAAAAGGCACCCGACAUCACUUAUCACCAGGACAUGCAAAUCAAAGCCACAGUGAGACCGACUUGCACCUGUUAGGAUGGCUGGCAUCAAAAAGACAAGAUGGCAAGUGUUGGCCGGGGUGUGGAGAAAGGGAGCCCUUGUACCCUGUUGGUGGGAAUGUAAAAUGGUGCAACCAGUAUAGGAAACAGCAUGGAGGUUCCUCGGAAAACUAAAGAUAGAUCUGCCAUCUGAUCCAGCAAUCCCUCUACUGGGUUACAGCCAAAGGAAAUGGCACCAGGAUCUUGAAGAUAGAGCUGUACUCCCAUGAUCGCUGUGGCUUUGUUGAGGAUAGCCAAGAUACGGAAACGCCCGAAGUGUCUGUGGUCAGAUGAAUGAAGAAAGAAAAUGUGGUAUAGACACAUGAUGGAAUAUUAACCUUUAAAAAGAAGGAAACCUGCCAUAUAUGACAACGUGAAUAAACCUGGAGGAUUUUAUGCCAAGUGCAAUAAAGCCAGACCCAGAAAGGCCAA